UAGGAGAACUAAAGGGGAAAACAUUUACGAAAGACGGGGAAAAGUCGACCUUUGUUGCGGGUUUGGAGAGUUAUCGGAAUUGGGGAAAGCCACUAAGGUGAGCUAUGGUGAUGAUUGAAAGUCACCGAGUACUUUACGUACUCUUGUUGAUGGGGUUGUGUUGUAUUGACCGACACUAAUCCCUUGGGUUCUCUUGUUGUUGGAGCGGUGUUGUAUUGACCGACACUUAGCGCUCUUGUUGUUUGGGCGGUGUUGUAUUGACCGACACUAGACCCUUGUGUAUUCUGUGGAUGGAGUUGUGUUGUAUUGACCGACACUAACUCAUGGGUUUGUUGAGAUUGGGUUGUGAGCUACACACUUUCGUGGUAAGGGCGAUUCGUUGUUUGGCUAACCAUAUUGCAUCAAUCAGGUGAAUAACGGGAAUGGUUCACCUUGCAUAAAUGAUGAAUAACGGGAAUGGUUCAUCAUAUGGUGAAUAACGGGAAUGGUUCACCAAGGAUGAAUAACGGGAAUGGUUCAUCCAGGAUGGAUAACGGGAAUGGUCCAUCCAUAGUGAAGAACGGGAAGCUUCACUGAGGCGUGAGACUUCGUGAAAGCAUGGAACUUCACUGAAGCGUGAGACUUCGUGAAAGUGAGUAAGCUUCACUGAGGCGUGAGACUUCGUGAAAGCAGAAACUUCACUGAGGCGGGAGACCUCGUGGAGACGGGAACCUUCGCUGAGGCGGGAGACCUUGCGGAGACGGGAACCUUCGCUGAAGCGGGAGACUUUGCGGAGGCGUGCAACUUCACUGAAGCGUGAGACUUCGUGAAGGCGCGAAACUUCACUGAAGCGUGAGACUUCGUGAAUGUGUGAGAUUUCACUGAAGCGUGAGACUUCGUGAAAGCGUAAGACCCCAUUGAAGCGUGAGACUUCAUGGAAGCGUGAGAUUUCAUCGUCGUUUACCCUAGGGCAACGACAGGGAACAUUGGUUUAGUUGGAUACGUGUGUGUUGGGAGGACGAUACAUUGUUUGACUAACCUUAUCACCUAACUUCAUAUGUUGAGAUUAUGAUGAUUUGAUGUUGAUGAACAUCGUUAGGUAUUAAUGAUUGAACUGUGUAGGAGAUUCGAGAACAUGUUAUGUAUAUACCUUAGAGUAGGCAAUACAUAACUUAUAUGUAUAUAUACAACAUAUAUAUAUAUACCCCUUUUAUCGCAUGUUGAUUGUAUAUCUAUUGUAUUCUGUAAGUUGACCCUAGCGCCUUGGCUUUGUUUGUAUGUUUGUGUUUGGGCGGUCGGCCUGCUGCCAGGCGUCUGUCAGCCGGUUCGUGAUGAUUCGUGGCGCGGGAAAGACCCGGAGCGGAAUGACUAUUACUAGAGCUUUCGACGAGGACCCGGACUUCAUGCCUGAUCGAGGGAGGGUCGCUGAUAGUAGUGUGGGUUAUGGGAGGUUAGAGUCUUUUGAGUUGGUUGUUACUGUAAUAGCUCUGAUUCGUUUUGCUUUUGGGACAGGGUAGGUUCCCGACGCAUGACUUUUGUGUGGUUCUCUUACUGAGGGAUCACAGUGAGUCAGUCGGACCAUAGGGGUCUUUGCUUAGGCCAUUUUGAGGCCGACUUUCUCUUGGAUAGUGGUAUAUUUGAUGUUUUUGCGUACAGUUCUGGUUUGAAAAUAUUCGCCUACGGGCAUGCUACCUUGGAGUCACUGCGUGUGCGCGUGACGGGAGAGUGCAGCUGAGGCUGUACAUUUGUAUAUGUUUGUUUAUCGGUUAGUUAGUUGUUGGGUUAUGUCUUUACUUUCUAUUGUUUUGAUUUAAAGGAAAGAAAACGAAAAAAAAUUACCUGUUUUCCGCGUAAAGAUUAUUUUUGGUUACUAAAGUGACACGUGGAAAUCGGGGUGUUACAUUGUGGUAUCAGAGCUUAGUCGAGUCUUUUGGGAGUCUUUGGGGAAUAGGUCUUCUGUGCUAGGUUGUGUGACUCUGCAAAGAGUGAAAAUUGAUUGUCUGCAGAGCGAUUUUCGUUCUAAUUGCUUGCGUUACUACUCAAUCGGAUUGAGUGGUUUGUCUAGUGCUACCGUAUGGUUAGUACUAAUCGGACGUUCGAUGAGAUAUAGGAUGGUGGACCUUAACCGGAUGGCGGGGGCAAUAGCUACACUGAUCGAGGCAAUGAUGAACCAGGCUGCGGAAGACGCUUAUAUGCGCGCUGCACGUGAGCAUCACCAACGAUUGAUGGCGACGGCGAUGUAUCAACAAAGAGGAAUGAACCGAACAGGAGCUGGGGGACCAAUGAGGUCAGGUUCCCAAGGCUACAACGGAAGGAAGAGCUACCAUAAGUGGGGACCAUAUCAGCGUUUCAAGGGAAGAGAUCUUAUCUCAAGAGUCUACAAACCAACGACUGCUGAUACUGGAGGGGAGCCAGUUGGUGACAAAGGUGUGACAUGUACUCGUUGUGGAAAGUUUGGGCAUUUUGCUAACAAGUGCUCAGUGACUGGAUGGAGAUGCUUCAAGUGUAACCGAGAGGGGCAUCUAGCUGUGAACUGCAAGACCAAAGAAAGUCUAUGCUUCAAUUGCAACCAACCGGGACAUUUCUCCCAAGAUUGCAAGGCACUCAGGGGCGAAUCAUCAGGGAAUGUUGGGAAAGGAAAACAACUUGCUCCAGAGGAAAGGAUUCAUGCCAAGGAGGGCAAGAGCUGAGGAGUUGAACGAGGAAGAACGUGGGAAUGAUGUAGGACCUUAUUCGAGGUUGCUCGUGAUUUGACUAUAGAAGUUACACGGGGUUGGGAAUAGCACACUAAGUCUAGAAAGUAGUCUUCCACCGAUGCGUUUAUGAGGAAGCUAGUAGCUGAAGAACGAAUCUUAGGGAGAUUCCGUAUGGGUAGUAUACGUGUCAUGUUGAGGGUGUGUAGUUCCGUAGCGGGAUCAUUAAAGGAUUUAGUAUCAGGAUAUUUGUGACUACUGGAGGAUAGGAACUCAUUGACUGUUCCAGUGGGUUUUUCUAAAUCUCCACCUUCGAUGUAUUAGGCCUGAUCAACCUAAUAUUGAGGGGGUGAUAUUCGGAAUCACAGCUGGUUAUGGACUUUGAUAGAAGGAUGUGUAAGAUGAAUUUGAAUUGAUUGAGGAUUAGUCGGAUUUGGGAGGAAAGUUCGUGUUAAGCACUUGAUUGUGAAAGAUUAAGAUUUAAAUCUUUGGAAUUCGAUGAGUGUCGUAUAGACAUUGAUUGGUUAGUUCGUGUGAUUACUCCAAGUAGAGGUAGACCAAGUCAAGAGAUUUAGUGCUGGAAAAGUAUUAAGUAGUUUCUCGGAAGUUAUGAAGUCAUAGGUUAUGUGAUUGCUGAGGGGAGUUGUUAGAGACUAAAUAAGUUGGAUUUAAUCAUGUUUUAGAUGAUACCUUGAUGGUAGCGAGAUUGAGAAGAAUUAGCUCUGAACUAGAUUGUUAUAGUCGAGUUCGAGGAAUAAGUUUUGCUAAGCGUUUGAUUAAUAUGUGGAGACAUUAUAGUCUUAAGAGAUGAAUUUUCAUUUGAAAAGUGUUGAAUUAAUGAUUAAGUUGGAGAAAGAAAGUUUUAGCAUAAGUUGAAUACUUGAGGUUGUUGAUAUGGAUUCCAAAGAAAUAUGCUAAGAUUACUAAGUGAGAUUUACUAAGUUGGAUUGAAAUCUUAGGGUUAAGAUUGAAUCUUGAGAGUCGAGAAUCGCGUACGAAUAGGAGAUCUUAUGGUUGUAGGUGUGACAAUAGGAGUUGAAUCUUAGAAGAUUGAGGACCUGAAGGUGAGCUUCGGGUUAAGACCAUUGAGGUAUAAUAUAAGAGAGAUCUUGAAGUAAAGGAAUUCUGGGUUGUGUGGAGUGUUAAGGUUGGUGAUCGAUUGAUGUUGAUUAUGAGGUUGCGGACAUAAUGACCAUGUGAUAAGAUUUGAAUGAUGUUAGCAUAAUAAGUUAUGAUUACGGAUAGCAGGAUCAAGUGGUGAGUGUGGAAGCAUGACGACACUUAUCAGGUCGUUUGGGUAAGUGAAGGAGUUAUAGUUUUAAGAAACGGAUAUUCAUUUAAGAAGUAUUGAAGGAUUAAAGGUCAUUAGAGGACCAAACUUGGUGAAGGUUUAGGUUUUAAAUCUAUGAAUGUCUGUCUAAGGUGUGUAGGACUCGAAGGUUGUCAGAAUUUGAUUGAGAGAUUAAGAAGUUGAUUGACGAGAUGGUGAUUGAGUCACAAAAAGGAAGGUGUUAGUAUUAAGAUGAAUACCUGAGGUUGUUAUAUUUUGACGAGUUUCGUAGAGUAUAAGAGUCAAUGGGACUUUGUUAUGGAUUUUGAUGAUGCAUAUUACGGGUAACAAGUGAAUUUUACUAAAGUUGAAUGAGAAUCCUAGGGCUAAGGUUGACCUAGUGAGCUGAGAUUCAUGUACACAUAAGAGAUUUAGUGGUGUUAGCGGCUACGAUAACAGUUAAAUCUCAGAAUGUUGAAGGAUCGGAAGAUGAAAUGACUAAUUAAGUCCCUUGAGGUAUAGUUAUGAUUUAAUCUUCUAGAGGAUAAGUCUCGAUUUGUGCGAAGUGUUAGGGAUUUCAGUAAGUGUAAAUAGGUUUGAGUGAGGGAAGUUCUAGGGAAGAAGACGAUAAUAAUGGAUUGUUAGAUAUUAAGAAGAGGAUUAUCUUAUAAGUUGUUGAUAACUUGAUGUUGAAGGGGAUAAGAUUAGUGAAGGACAAGAAAUAAGGACAUGAGUCGAGCUUUAAUUCGAAUGGUGACUAAGUAGGAGAUUGAUUUCAUUGUGCGAGUGAUGAUAGUUACGAAGUUGGAUGUGACGUUAAUGGAUUAUUAGAUUCCAACGCAAUAUUUCGUCUAGGAGUUAUCGAACGGACAAGUGGAGUUUUGGACUGUAGAUGAAGAUCACGAGGACGAGUUGAGUAUUUACCUUAAGAUGGCAGAGAGGCACCGAGUUUAAGAAGAAUUUCGGACAACCGAAAGUAAAGAAGCAAGUGGCUAAGGUUGUGCGACUGCACGGAGUGCCAACCAGGAACAUUUCAAGCAGAGAUCCGACGCAAGUGAUCGAACCAGACGACAUGAAGUUGAAUGAUGGUUUGUCUUUUGAGACGCCGACAGUUAACAGUGGGGAUAUAAGAGUGAAACAAUUAAGGGGAAAACAGAUUGCUUAAGUAAAGGUUAUGAGGAACAAUGACCCAGACAAUACUACAUGGGAAUUGGAAGACAAGAUUAAGGAACUGUAUUCCGGACUUUCUCAGAACUCUGAGUUUCGAGGACGAAACUUUCUUUUUGGAGGGGAGUAUUGUAAGACCUGGAUUUUCAGAACAAGUUAAGUUUCCGACUCACGCGUAGAAUCAGCGUAAGCGUGACAGGAGUUUGGUAUUUGAGAAAGAUUAAUGAAGAGGAAAGUUCAGGAAUUACUUGAGGUAUGUUGCGUAGUUGCUUCCGGAGUUAGUACGAGUCGUCUGCACACCUGCCUUAUGGCGAGCGUGUCCAGAAUAGGCUAUUUCGCUCUUAAAGCAACGUUUUGAGUGAGAUUUCGAACUCUCGGAAAAUUUAAAGAUUCUCUUUAUUUUUCCAUCGACCAGCGUUUCAUUCCGGAACUCUGGACUGUACGCACGAUGGGUUUCACUUUUCGGAUGUCCGCCGACGCUAAUUUCUUUGCUUCGAAACCCUAUUUUCGAGCAAUGGAUGAAGACUUUUUAUAUUCGGGACUUCUAACGAAGAUUCCGUCCGCGUUGCCAGACUUGUUUCGACAUUUCCAAUCUUUCUUCUGUUGGAAGUUUUGUCGUUUGAGCAUCACAGCAAAAAGUAGUUUUUCGGGACAGAUUUAACUUACACCGCUUUUGAGAUUUUCGAUAUCGUUUUUCCCAUAUCAUAGAUAUUUGUUUUGAGUUCUGGAUUUCUGACGCCAGAAUCUCUCUUAAAAUUCCUUGGUGAACGUGCUGCAAAAAUCGGAAUCGCGAAAUUUUCAUUUUCCCGCGAUUUCGCCCGCCUAUAAAUAGGCGAAAAAGCAAAAUAUCUUCCAUUUUUCCUCCAUUUGUGGCUGAUUUCGUGGAGAGCAAGGGGGGAGGGGAUUUCCGCGAAAACUUGAUCAAUCUUCGUGCAGUUCGUCCCUACUUCUAGGUAUCAAGGUAACUAACACGAUUCCUACCUCUGAUUGUUGUUUCUGUUGCGUUUUUGAAGUCGUUUCUGUGCUCACAGUUUUGAGCUUUUUCUAAAAUGGUCCGAUUUCUUCGAUUUCUUGGUUGGGUUAUGUUCCUUACGUUCCCCUGAGUCUAAAACCUCUGUCAGUAAACUCUGAUUGCGAUUCAGUUGUCCAGGAUCUGAAAAACUGUUUCAAAACCUUUUUGUCUCACAUUUCGAAACUUUAUUGUCGAAAAGUCAUAAUUUGACUUCGUGCCUUUAGGAUUUGUUGUCACGGAUGUCAUGAGGAUCGUUGCUGUCAAAUUUGUUUUCAGAACUGAUAACUUUGAAGUUUUGAGCCUUUAUUUUGGACCAAAAUGCCCCUAGAUAGUCGUAUUUCGGCCCGAUUGUCCGAAAAUUGUUCUGACAGUUUCUUUGCCUUAGUUUUAUCCUAAAACUACCUUGUGAAUUGAUUUGAUCGAAGAAAAAGAGCCGAAGCCCUUUUUCCUUUGAGGCCGUGGGUUAUUACCAUCAGGGGGGAGUUUUUCGGUUUCGAAAACUUGUCUUUUCGUACCUGAUUGUCCUAUUCUGAAGCUUUAAUGCUUUGUCUAUCGUUUAUGUAUUGUUUUGCGAUCGAACUAAUCGAUUUUGUUUGGGUUCUGCUUUGUUUUUCUCCGAGGUUCAGUUGAGGGAACUUUAGAAGACUCAGAGCAAUUGUUUGAGGAGAACUUUGUUUGCGAAGCUGGAACAGCUCGAGGUUAGGGCAACUUACUAUAUAUUAGCUAUGAAUGCAUGAUAGGCGUCGAUCAAUUCGACUUAUGCUUUACUUUGAUGUUGAUUAUGUUGAUGAACUGAUGUUGUGAUGUUGUGCUUUAUUGGAUUGUGCGUUUUGACGCGACUUCGGAGUGGAGAUUCAUUGAUCUGGUGAUCUUUGAUGUUUCGGGUUGGAUGAACAACCCUAGGCAAGUUCAAACGAGGGGUUUGGGACUUAGCCAUUUGUUGGGAUUCGUUGGUUUACUUAGACUUUCCCCGGGAAACUUCUUUUGGGUGGUUGGUUUUCGGAAAUCCUAGAAUGAAUAGAAUAUUGUAAACUAGAGACUUUGGGAAACUUAGACUUUGAGAAAUAAACUCAUAAUUUGACUAAUUUGAAUUGAAAUCAUUUUUAUUAACGUUUAAGCAUAGGAGAACUAAAGGGGAAAACAUUUACGAAAGACGGGGAAAAGUCGACCUUUGUUGCGGGUUUGGAGAGUUAUCGGAAUUGGGGAAAGCCACUAAGGUGAGCUAUGGUGAUGAUUGAAAGUCACCGAGUACUUUACGUACUCUUGUUGAUGGGGUUGUGUUGUAUUGACCGACACUAAUCCCUUGGGUUCUCUUGUUGUUGGAGCGGUGUUGUAUUGACCGACACUUAGCGCUCUUGUUGUUUGGGCGGUGUUGUAUUGACCGACACUAGACCCUUGUGUAUUCUGUGGAUGGAGUUGUGUUGUAUUGACCGACACUUACUCCGAGUUGUGUUGUAUUGACCGACACUAACUCAUGGGUUUGUUGAGAUUGGGUUGUGAGC
rnacentral:lncRNA from 1 species